CGUAGGAGGCGAGCGUUAUCCGGAUUCACUGGGCGUAAAGCGCGUGCAGGUGGCGCGGUAAGCUAGGCGUGAAAUCUCCCGGCUCAACUGGGAGAGGUCGUCUAAUACUACCGUGCUUGAGAGUCAGAAGAGGAAGAUGGAAUUCCCGGUGUAGUGGUGAAAUGCGUAGAUAUCGGGAGGAACACCAGUGGCGAAGGCGAUCUUCUGGUCUGUUUCUGACACUCAGACGCGACAGCUAGGGUAGUAAACGGGAUUAGAGACCCCGGUAAUCCUAGCCGUAAACGAUGUGAACUUGGCGUUGGUGGGUUAAACUCCAUCAGUGCCGUAGCAAACGCGAUAAGUUCACCGCCUGGGGACUACGGCCGCAAGGUUA
rnacentral:rRNA from 1 species